UGAGAACGCUGCGCGGCGGGGGAGGGCCGUGCAGGGUUCUCGCGGUGUCGGGCAUGCGUGAGCGGCUCCGCUUCCAGGGCACAAACGCCGGCGAGUGUUGCCUGGCUUUAUUUACGUUUGGAAAAGACCAGUUUUAGGGCUCCUGUGUCCAGGAGAAGGCCUAGGACCUUGUCGGCACUGAACACGGCAGAGGUUGGCAUCUCCACCGUCACUGAAACCACAGCUCCCUGAUCUGAGUCAUGGCUUCAUUGAAGCUGGACAUCUGGGAAGACAGUUCGUCCUCUUCCUUGGAGAACUAAGGGGGCAAAAGGAGACACAUAACAGUGUGGCCCAGUCUCCAUCUCAGCUGGCCAUGUUCCCUGCUUGCCUGGCCCACCUCCCUUACAUUGCCUGCACUCAGGGCCCCGUUGGAGCUGGCUUCCAUCUCUUCUGUUUCCAUCUGAAUUGGCUGCUCCCCACUGGGUCCACUGUGGGGGCUCAGCUCCUUGACCCUGAGAAAACAAGAAGGUCACAGCUCCCACAGCAGCCUCUUUGGCACUCACAAGUGUGCAGCACCACUCAGGUUUCGAGACUUCAAGGAGAUGGAGUAGUGGCUUUGCUUUGACCUAGAAGGAUUCUUAUUCACUGCUCCCCACCAGAGCCUGAAGGGGAUCAGAAAAAAACUUUGUAGCAUCAUAUGCUACAGGCCUCAGACUUAGCGAGUCACAGACUUAGCCUCAGACUUAGCGAGUCACAGAAGAGGAGACAAUAGGCAAAGUCCCCAGAGCCCCCUCCCCACUCUCAUCACUACCAUUCCCUCCCCAACCCUGCCCCUUCCCAUCCCACCUGGCAUAGGUACCAGUACCUGUCUGCAUAUCUUAGUGUAUUUAAAGUAUAUUCACAGGAGCUUAUGCCUGGUGAGAUCAUGGCGAUCUGCAAAAGAAGAAAUGGGCAGUUAAUGGUCAAGGAUCCCAGGGUAAGGGUGCUCUUGGAGAGGCUGCCAGGAAUUGGGGGUAGAGCUCAUUAAAUACUCACUGUGUGCCAGGCAACUUGCCCCAUGGGCCCUGCAAACUAAGGUUCUUUAUGUUUUAUUUAUUUAUUUUUAACUAAGGUUCUUUAAAGAUCAGUCCCCUGUUUUUGCUGGUGUAUCUGAUUACUCCUGCUUCUUUACUUUUUUACUGACCCAUUCCUCUCACCAAGGUCACAAUGCAAGGCCCUGUGAUUACUGCUGGAAACUUUAGUUCACCUGGGCUCAGAGAUACUGCCUUAGGGAGAGGGGUUUAGAGCUUAGUCAGCAAUUCCCACCUUCCUCAGCAGGAGGAGAGAGGAUAUUCCCUGGCGAGGAAGGUGGGCAGAUCUGAGCUAGAAAGCAUUAUGGAUAAAAUAAGGGGACAGAAAGUCACUCAAGGCUGAGGCCCUCUCCAAUUUCCUAGGCUGGGAGCCAAUGACCCGAGGGAAGUCACAGAGGGACGAGGACUGCCUCUCCUGCUUCCCCAAAGGUCCUCCUCCUGAAUCCUGUAGCCCCCUUUUCAUCAGGUAUGGGAGGAACGACCUCCCCGACCCAAGAGGUGCACAGACACACAGUAAAGGGAGAAGAUCCUUUCCUCUCUGCUUGUGUAGGCAAAGAGGACCCUGCUGCCCAAAAGCAGGGGGUGAAGCCCGGUUAAAUUAGAACCUGGAAACCCAGCUAGUCAAGAAUACAGAGCCUCUUGCCCAGGGACAGGACUGCACCACUCCAAAGGACCCAACUCACCAUGCAGGUCCUUGAGUUCUCACCAAUAAAGGAGUCCCUCAACACCUGUGUCAGCUUGCUCUCGCGGAAUGGGGUGUGGGCCUUGUUCUGUCCCAGGGCCCUGAUGCAUUCCUGGGGGACAGCAGGGGAAGCUGAGGUCCCCUCCUUCCUUUCAAGAUGCCCUCUCCCUCCCACCCUCUCCUCCCAGCAGCCCUCCAGGGCCACCCGCUCCCCUGCAGCUGGGCCUGGCUACCUUCAGAGCCAGGAGACUCUUGUUGAUUUCU